UACGGGGGGAGCAAGCGUUGUUCGGAUUUACUGGGCGUAAAGAGCUCGUAGGCGGUCUGUCGCGUCUGGUGUGAAAAUCCAGGGCUUAACACUGGACCUGCAUCGGGUACGGGCAGACUAGAGUGCGGUAGGGGAGAUCGGAAUUCCUGGUGUAGCGGUGAAAUGCGCAGAUAUCAGGAGGAACACCGGUGGCGAAGGCGGAUCUCUGGGCCGUAACUGACGCUGAGGAGCGAAAGCAUGGGGAGCGAACAGG
rnacentral:rRNA from 1 species